CAAGCGUUAUCCGGAAUUAUUGGGCGUAAAGGGCUCGUAGGCGGUUCGUCGCGUCCGGUGUGAAAGUCCAUCGCUUAACGGUGGAUCCGCGCCGGGUACGGGCGGGCUUGAGUGCGGUAGGGGAGACUGGAAUUCCCGGUGUAACGGUGGAAUGUGUAGAUAUCGGGAAGAACACCAAUGGCGAAGGCAGGUCUCUGGGCCGUUACUGACGCUGAGGAGCGAAAGCGUGGGGAGCGAACAGGAUUAGAUACCCUGGUAGUCCACGCCGUAAACGGUGGAUGCUGGAUGUGGGGCCCGUUCCACGGGUUCCGUGUCGGAGCUAACGCGUUAAGCAUCCCGCCUGGGGAGUACGGCCGCAAGGCUAAAACUCAAAGAAAUUGACGGGGGCCCGCACAAGCGGCGGAGCAUGCGGAUUAAUUCGAUGCAACGCGAAGAACCUUACCUGGGCUUGACAUGUUCCCGACGGUCGUAGAGAUACGGCUUCCCUUCGGGGCGGGUUCACAGGUGGUGCAUGGUCGUCGUCAGCUCGUGUCGUGAGAUGUUGGGUUAAGUCCCGCAACGAGCGCAACCCUCGCCCCGUGUUGCCAGCGGAUUAUGCCGGGAACUCACGGGGGACCGCCGGGGUUAACUCGGAGGAAGGUGGGGAUGACGUCAGAUCAUCAUGCCCCUUACGUCCAGGGCUUCACGCAUGCUACAAUGGCCGGUACAACGGGAUGCGACGCGGCGACGCGGAGCGGAUCCCUGAAAACCGGUCUCAGUUCGGAUCGCAGUCUGCAACUCGACUGCGUGAAGGCGGAGUCGCUAGUAAUCGCGAAUCAGCAACGUCGCGGUGAAUGCGUUCCCGGGCCUUGUACACACCGCCCGUCAAGUCAUGAAAGUGGGCAGCACCCGAAGCCGGUGGCCUAACCCCUUGUGGGAUGGAGCCGUCUAAGGUGAGGCUCGUGAUUGGGACUAAGUCGUAACAAGGUAGCCGUACCGGAAGGUGCGGCUG
rnacentral:rRNA from 1 species